rnacentral:rRNA from 1 species
GACGAACGCUGGCGGCGUGCUUAACACAUGCAAGUCGAACGGAAAGGCCCUGCUUUUGUGGGGUGCUCGAGUGGCGAACGGGUGAGUAACACGUGCGUAACCUGCUCUUGACUUUGGGAUAACUUCAGGAAACUGGUGCUAAUACCGGCUAGGAGCUCCUGCUGCAUGGUGGGGGUUGGAAAGUUUCGGCGGUUGGGGAUGGACUCGCGGCUUAGCAGCUUGUAGGUGGGGGAUUGGCUUACCAAGGCUUUGACGGGUAGACGGCCUGAGAGGGUGACCGGCCACAUUGGGACUGAGAUACGCCCCAGACUCCUACGGGAGGCAGCAGUCGGGAAUAUUGCACAAUGGGCUGAAGCCUGAUGCAGCAACGCAGCGUGCGGGAUGACGGCCUUCGGGUUGUAAACCGCUUUCGCCUGUGACGAAGCGUGAGUGACGGUAAUGGGUAAAGAAGCACCGGCUAACUACGUG